rnacentral:rRNA from 1 species
ACCUGACUGCUAUCGGAUUGAUACUAAGCCAUGCGAGUCAUUGUAGCAAUACAAGGCAUACGGCUCAGUAACGCGUAGUCAACCUAACCUAUGGACGGGAAUAACCUCGGGAAACUGAGAAUAAUGCCCGAUAGAACAUUAUGCCUGGAAUGGUUUAUGUUCCAAAUGAUUUAUCGCCAUAGGAUGGGACUGCGGCCUAUCAGUUUGUUGGUGAGGUAAUGGCCCACCAAGACUAUUACAGGUACGGGCUCUGAGAGGAGUAGCCCGGAGAUGGGUACUGAGACACGGACCCAGGCCCUAUGGGGCGCAGCAGGCGAGAAAACUUUGCAAUGUGCGAAAGCACGACAAGGUUAAUCCGAGUGAUUUGUGCUAAACGAAUCUUUUGUUAGUCCUAGAAACACUAACGAAUAAGGGGUGGGCAAGUUCUGGUGUCAGCCGCCGCGGUAAAACCAGCACCUCAAGUGGUCAGGAUGAUUAUUGGGCCUAAAGCAUCCGUAGCCGGCUCUGUAAGUUUUCGGUUAAAUCUGUACGCUCAACGUACAGGCUGCCGGGAAUACUGCAGAACUAGGGAGUGGGAGAGGUAGACGGUACUCGGUAGGAAGUGGUAAAAUGCUUUGAUCUAUCGAUGACCACCUGUGGCGAAGGCGGUCUACCAGAACACGUCCGACGGUGAGGGAUGAAAGCUGGGGGAGCAAACCGGAUUAGAUACCCGGGUAGUCCCAGCUGUAAACUAUGCAAACUCAGUGAUGCAUUGGCUUGUGGCCAAUGCAGUGCUGCAGGGAAGCCGUUAAGUUUGCCGCCUGGGAAGUACGUACGCAAGUAUGAAACUUAAAGGAAUUGGCGGGGGAGCACCACAAGGGGUGAAGCCUGCGGUUC